rnacentral:rRNA from 1 species
GGUUAAGUCAGGCAACGAGCGAGACCCGUACCCACAGUUGCCAGCGGCUGCUCCGGCAGGCUGGGUACACUAUGGGGACCGCCUCUGCUAAAGAGGAGGAAGGAGCGGGCGACGGUAGGUCAGUAUGCCCCGAAUUCUCCGGGCUACACGCGGGCUACAAUGGAUGGGACAAUGGGUCCCGACACCGAAAGGUGAAGGCAAUCUCUUAACCCCAUUCUUAGUUCGGAUUGAGGGCUGAAGCUCGCCCUCAUGAAGCUGGAAUCCGUAGUAAUCGCGUUUCAACAUAGCGCGGUGAAUACGUCCCUGCUCCUUGCACA